rnacentral:rRNA from 1 species
CUACCUUAGACGGGAUAACUGGGAAAUGAGGAUAAUAUGGAUAGGCAAUUAUUCCUGCAAUGGUUUUUUGUUUAAAUGUUUUUUCGCCUAAGGAUGGGUCUGCGGCCGAUUAGGUAGUUGGUUAGGCAAUGGCUUACCAAGCCGUUGAUCGGUACGGGUUGUGAGAGCAAGAGCCCGGAGAUGGAACCUGAGACAAGGUUCCAGGCCCUACGGGGUGCAGCAGGCGCGAAACCUCCGCAAUGUGAGAAAUCGCGACGGGGGGAUCCCAAGUGCCAUUCUUAACGGGAUGGCUUUUCAUUAGUGUAAAGAGCUUUUGGAAUAAGGGCUGGGCAAGACCGGUGCCAGCCGCCGCGGUAACACCGGCAGCUCUAGUGGUAGCAGUUUUUAUUGGGCCUAAAGCGUCCGUAGCCGGUUUAAUAAGUCUCUGGUGAAAUCCUGUAGCUUAACUGUGGGAAUAGCUGGAGAUACUAUUAGACUUGAGACCGGGAGAGGUUAGAGGUACUCCCAGGGUAGAGGUGAAAUUCUGUAAUCCUG